AGGAUGAACGCUAGCGACAGGCCUAACACAUGCAAGUCGAGGGGUAACAGGGAAGCUUGCUUCCGCUGACGACCGGCGCACGGGUGCGUAACGCGUAUGCAACCUACCUUAUACUGGGGGAUAGCCCGAAGAAAUUCGGAUUAAUACCCCAUAACAUUACGAGAUCACAUGUUUUUGUAAUUAAAACCCUGGUGGUAUAAGAUGGGCAUGCGUGACAUUAGAUUGUUGGUGAGGUAACGGCUCACCAAGUCGACGAUGUCUAGGGGUUCUGAGAGGAAGGUCCCCCACACUGGUACUGAGACACGGACCAGACUCCUACGGGAGGCAGCAGUGAGGAAUAUUGGUCAAUGGACGCAAGUCUGAACCAGCCAUGUCGCGUGAAGGAAGACUGCCCUAUGGGUUGUAAACUUCUUUUGUAUGGGAAGAAACGCAGCUACGUGUAGCUGUUUGCCGGUACCAUACGAAUAAGCACCGGCUAACUCCGUGCCAGCAGCCGCGGUAAUACGGAGGGUGCAAGCGUUAUCCGGAUUCAUUGGGUUUAAAGGGUGCGUAGGCGGAUUAUUAAGUCAGGGGUGAAAGUUUGCGGCUCAACCGUAAAAUUGCCUUUGAUACUGGUAAUCUUGAGUACAUUUGAGGUAGGCGGAAUGUGAUGUGUAGCGGUGAAAUGCUUAGAUAUAUCACAGAACACCGAUUGCGAAGGCAGCUUACUAAACUGUAACUGACGCUGAGGCACGAAAGCGUGGGUAUCGAACAGGAUUAGAUACCCUGGUAGUCCACGCCGUAAACGAUGAUUACUAGUUGUUUGCAAUACAUGGUAAGCGACAAAGCGAAAGCAUUAAGUAAUCCACCUGGGGAGUACGUUGGCAACAAUGAAACUCAAGGAAUUGACGGGGGCCCGCACAAGCGGAGGAACAUGUGGUUUAAUUCGAUGAUACGCGAGGAACCUUACC
rnacentral:rRNA from 1 species